rnacentral:lncRNA from 1 species
CGAGCGCCUCGAUGGGCGCGUCCUCGGGUGGUACGGUCGAGGCCAACCACGCGAGGCCGCGCAGCAGCGCCGUCUCUGAGCACAGGUGCGACGAGGAGGCAUAGACGAGCACGUUGACGGCCCGGUCGCACGACAGCGGCCCAAACCGCCCCUCGUUGUCGUGUGCGUACCAGCGCGCGAUGAGGUCGCAGGUGUCCGUGUGGCCCGCACACAGGGCCGCCAUAAACGCGCGUAUGUCGUUUAUGGGCCACUGGCGGUCGCGCGCCAUCUGCAAGAGUUGGGUGUGUCCGAGGCGCGCCGCCGUGCAGGACCAGUCGCUCGGCGGCUCGCGACCCCACGUCGCGACCAUCUCCCACGCCCACACGCCCAAUGCCUCGUAGGCAUAGUAUGCCUCUAGGCGGCUCUCGUCCGUGUCGCCAUCACUACCGCCGCCGCCAUCAUCACCAGUAGCAUUACGGACGCGACACUGGGGUCGCUGUGGGGUCUCCCACGCCCCCAAGGUGGAACCCAGCCAUCGGGCGGUGCGCACGGCAUCGUGUUGCGCGAUGGCGGCCCACACGCGCCGCAGGACCGUUUCGACGGCGCUCGCGGGUGACAUGCGCUGUGCAUAGAGUCGGCCUAUGGCAAUCGCGGUGAGGGACAGCGCGCUGGCGGCGCGAUCGUACGCCACGGCGGCCUCGAUUUGCGCCAGCACAGAGGGGAGUGACGCGGUCUGGCUAAAUGCAGCGACGACGUGCGCGGCACCGACACCCAUGGGUCCCGACGCUGUACAUAUCAUCAUCGCGGCCGCGUGGCACGGCGAGAGCACGGUAAAGUAGCGUCGCCGCGUGCCGCCAGGGCAGGCGGUAUCGUGCGCAACGGCGCUACUGGCUGGAGACAGAUCUGGCGCAGCGAUUGGAUCGGCAGGUGGACCCGCCGACCCCAUGAGGACCAUCGCGACGUGCACGGCGUCUCGGCGCGCCGACAAUGCCACGCCGGCGGCGAUCUGCGGCACAGUCAGCGACGCGCAUACAAGGCGCGACUGCAUGCACAGCGCAUGCGCCGAUGCAGAUGCAUGCAAGGUACGGUCUAGCCAGAGCGCCAACACGGAAGCGCCCACGCAUCGACCUGCCGACCACGCGUGCGGGUCGACCUUGGCCGGUGCCGAUGCGAUGAAACGCCGCCUAUCGGCGUCCGACACGGCGGCGACGCCGUCGCGCCAUGCGCGGCACACGAGACGCGCAACAGCCCUGUGGGCAGCGUCGAGCCCCGUUGGACCAUUGAGUAUGGCAUCCAGCAACUCGGCUGGAAGGCGGUGCCAGGGCGAAUCGGCCGGGGCGUCACCUUCAGACGGGCGAGGUCGGCCGUCGGCGGUCGUGUUGCGCACGAGCCGAGGCCGUUUCCGCGGCGAUGGUCCAAAGACCUGCCCCACACAGCCGCCGGCAAAGGGUGCGCGCUUGGCCGUCGGCCGGCGCCAGCCCAAAGAGUGCGUUGUUGUGCGCUCGAUCGUUUUCAUGAGAAGCGCACUUGCCGCACGGCCCUGUGGUCACCUCUCUCUCUCUCUCUCUCUCUCUCUCUUUUACCUCCUCUUUGCGUAUGGCCAAGAUCUCGGCGCCGCCCGCUGUGUGCCUCGCGCAAUGGUGCCUCGCGCCUGGCGGGUAUUUUUUUCCCUCAAAGACAAAGACGAUGGCCGCGAGUGCGCGCGUGUGGCGACGUUG